GACGAACGCUGGCGGCGCGCUUAACACAUGCAAGUCGAGCGAUGAAAUCUUAACAGAACCCUUCGGGGCGAAGAUAAGACGGAUUAGCGGCGGACGGGUGAGUAACACGUGAGUAACCUGCCUUUUACACAGGGAUAGCCUCGGGAAACCGGGAUUAAAACCUGAUGAAACUAUCAAAUCACAUGAUUAAGAAAGUUAAAACUCCGGUGGUAAAAGAUGGACUUGCGUCUGAUUAGCUAGUUGGUGAGAUAAAAGCCCACCAAGGCGACGAUCAGUAGCCGGCUUGAGAGAGUGUACGGCCACAUUGGGACUGAGACACGGCCCAGAGUCCUACGGGAGGCAGCAGUGGGGAAUUCUGCACAAUGGGGGAAACCCUGAUGCAGCGACGCCGCGUGAUUUAGAAGGCCUUCGGGUUGUAAAAAUCUUUUUUAUGGGAUGAAAAUGACAGUACCAUAAGAAUAAGGUCCGGCUAAAUACGUGCCAGCAGCCGCGGUAAUACGUAUGGACCGAGCGUUGUCCGGAAUCAUUGGGCGUAAAGGGUACGUAGGCGGCCUAGUAAGUUAGAAGUGAAAUAAUAUAGCUCAACUAUAUAAAGCUUUUAAAACUGCAAGGCUUGAGAGAUGGAAGGGAAAGUGGAAUUCCUAGUGUAGCGGUGAAAUGCGCAGAUAUUAGGAAGAAUACCAGUGGCGAAGGCGACUUUCUGGUCAUCCUCUGACGCUGAGGUACGAAAGCGUGGGUAGCAAACAGGAUUAGAUACCCUGGUAGUCCACGCUGUAAACGAUGAGUGUUAGGUUCUUGGAAUAAUCUGGGAGCCGCAGCUAACGCAUUAAACACUCCGCCUGGGGAGUACGCACGCAAGUGUGAAACUCAAAGGAAUUGACGGGGACCCGCACAAGCAGCGGAGCAUGUGGUUUAAUUCGACGCAACGCGAAGAACCUUACCAAGUCUUGACAUAAUACGGAGGGAGUUAGAGAUAAUUCCUUAUCACUUCGGUGAGCUGUAUUACAGGUGGUGCAUAGUUGUCGUCAGCUCGUGUCGUGAGAUGUUGGGUUAAGUCCCAUAACGAGCGCAACCCCUAUCGUUAGUUACCAUCAUUAAGUUGGGGACUCUAGCGAUACUGCCGGUGAUAAACCGGAGGAAGGUGGGGACGACGUCAAAUCAUCAUGCCCUUUAUGACUUGGGCUACACACGUGCUACAAUGGCAGGUACACAGGGCAGCGAAAGAGCGAUCUGGAGCGAAACUCACAAAGCCUGUCCCAGUUCGGAUUGUACUCUGCAACUCGAGUGCAUGAAGUUGGAGUUGCUAGUAAUCGCGAAUCAGAAUGUCGCGGUGAAUGCGUUCCCGGGUC
rnacentral:rRNA from 1 species